GAUGCUGCUAGCAGUACCAUGCAGUCGAGCGGAACGAUGGAGCUUGCUCCAGGCGUCGAGCGGCGGACGGGUGAGUAAUGCAUAGGAAUCUGCCCGAUAGUGGGGGAUAACCUGGGGAAACCCAGGCUAAUACCGCAUACGUCCUACGGGAGAAAGCAGGGGAUCUUCGGACCUUGCGCUAUCGGAUGAGCCUAUGUCGGAUUAGCUUGUUGGUGAGGUAAUGGCUCACCAAGGCGACGAUCCGUAGCUGGUCUGAGAGGAUGAUCAGCCACAUCGGGACUGAGACACGGCCCGAACUCCUACGGGAGGCAGCAGUGGGGAAUAUUGGACAAUGGGCGAAAGCCUGAUCCAGCCAUGCCGCGUGUGUGAAGAAGGCUUUCGGGUUGUAAAGCACUUUCAGUGAGGAAGAAGGCCUUGGGGCUAAUACCCCCGAGGAAGGACAUCACUCACAGAAGAAGCACCGGCUAACUCCGUGCCAGCAGCCGCGGUAAUACGGAGGGUGCGAGCGUUAAUCGGAAUUACUGGGCGUAAAGCGCGCGUAGGCGGCGUGAUAAGCCGGUUGUGAAAGCCCCGGGCUCAACCUGGGAACGGCAUCCGGAACUGUCAG
rnacentral:rRNA from 1 species